CAAUUUAAAAUUACACAAGUGUGUUGCAAGUCAAUUGAAAUCGAGUUGAAUUUUGUAGGCUCUGUUUGGUUUAAAAAGUGACACAUCCAUAUAAAAUUUGAGAAAACUCAACAUAUUCAGUUUGGUAUUAUUUUAUUGAAACACUAUUUAAAAUCAAACUAAAUCGUAGGUAUUCACCUUAACAAAAACUCUACAACUAAUUCCUUUUUCCUUUCAAUCAUUUGUUACUCUCAUCUCCUCACAACAAUGCACGACUUCAUCCCCUUUUCUCUCUCGUCUACUAUUAAGAACGGGAUAUAACGAAAUCAAAGUACUUGGUUUUUUAAGUUAUUCGUUGGUUCAAUUUUUUUUAACAGAUUUGAAAUAUAGUCUCUUGAUUGUUAAAACACAAUAUUUCACAACUGAGCUAAGAUUACCACUAGAAGAAAACUACCCUACAAUGACAGUUAUAUAUCUCAAAAAAUGAAUGAAAGAAAAAAAACUGUCACGAAAUAUAAAAUUUUGCGUUUUUGGCGGGAAAAGACGGAAUUUUUCGGAAAACACUUUUCGUGACAGUUAUUAACUGUCAUAGAAUGUUAGGGUUAAAAUUUUUUUCUUUUUUCCUUUUCUUUUCUUUUUCCUUUUUCUUUCUUUUCCCUAUUUCCUUCUUCCUCCCCGUGCGUCCUUCCCCUUCUCCCCAGCCGCAACCGCCGCGCCUCUUCUCCUUCCUUCCGUACGCCGCGACGACUCCACCGUCUCCUUCUCCUUUCCUUCUCUUUUCUUUCCGUUCCCUUCCGUCUUUCUUUCCGCCGCAGCCCAACCGCCCCAUCCUUCCCCUUCUCUCCGUUCGCGAAGCAAAACCGCCACCGACCGACCUCCAUUCCUCUUCUCCUUCCCGUUCGCAGCCCCGCCGCAAAUCGUCGCCUCCCUUCCCUUCCAUUUUCUUCUUCCGUCCGCAGCCCUGCCGCAACCCUUCCCUUCCAUUUUCCUCUUCUCUUCAGUUCGCAAAGCAGCCGUACACGUCCAGAUCUGCACCGCAAGACCGCCCGUUGCCCUUCCGCCGCUGCCCGGUCCAGAUCUGCACCGUUUUCGCGUCUUGUUCUGUCUCCGUCGAAGCCGAGCCACCGUGUGAAGCAGUAACCGCCACGUCCGCCGCUCACAACCGCCAUCCACCGAUCCCUUCUCCUCCGUUGUCUGCACUACCGGGCCGGAAGCCUGGUUUCAGCCAGCCUCUGCCGUCGAUCAGACCUUAUCAAUCUUCCAGAUUGUGCGCCCUAUUCCAGAGAAAUGCGACAUCAACUUAUAAUAUCCUAAAUGAGGAGGGUAGAAUUGUAGCUGCAGCGCUUCUGCCUUAUGGAGUUUCUUCAUGACCCACCGCCCAGAGCCAGACUCGGUUGUUGUUAUGGAUGCCUCUAAAUUGCAGGAUUCUUCUACCUCUCAAAUCUUACAAGUAUUACUUAGCGCUUUGAUCUCUACUCAUUUGUAGACUGACUACAACUAUCGAGUCACUUGGUCCUUUUUGCUGUAUAGAUAUACUGUUAUUGUCAUAACCUGCCAUCAAGAAUUAUAGUGUAUAUAUAUUAAAGUGUUGGCUAUUUUCUUGUACAUUGGUGUGAAACUUGUAUAAUUUCAAAUUUGUCAUUCUCAGCUACAUUAUUGUCAUUCUAAUGGUUCGUGUAAUGGUGGAGCUGCAUGGAGAACAGAAUAAAACUAUAGGAAAUUGAGAAA